rnacentral:rRNA from 1 species
AUGAAGCCGGAAUUGCAGUAAUGGCAGGUCAGCAUACUGCCGUGAAUACGUUCCCGGGCCUUGUACACACCGCCCGUCACACCAUGAGAGUUGGGGAUACCCGAAGCCUGUGAGCUAACAGUAAUGAAGCAGCAGUCGAAGGUAGAAUCAAUGAUUGGGGUGAAGUCGUAACAAGGUAAC